CUUUUCUUUCAAUUUUCCUCCUUUGUCUCUUUCAGAAGUCUGUCGAAGAAAUCGCAAGCAUGUUACUUUCGAAUUGAUACCGAGAAAAUAAUUGAAGAAACGCUUGAUAUGUUUUAUUCAACUGAAUCAUCAAUUUGAAUAAUUUCAAAGUUAUCAUCAAAAGAAGACCGAUUAAAUAUAUAAAAUUAUACAAAAAUUCCAAAAUUGAAAUAUCUAAUUAAUUGAAUAUCUAGAGAAGUUUACAAAUUAUAUCGAAAUUCAAGUAGACGUACUAUCUAUGAUUCAUCAUUCAUUAUUCUCGCGUCAUUAACAUUUUAAAUUAGGAAUGUCGGUGGGAAAAAAGAUAAAUCCGUUUCUGACAAACAGAUCGGAGAUCGUAUCUCGCACAAUCGAUAUACUAACGCUCGGACGUGUCUCGCCUUCGUUUCAUCUAAUACUCACGAGAUUAGUAUUCGUUGCUGCUUGAAAGGUCGUCAAAAUUCACGUGUUGUUACAAGCAAACCCGACGACUCAUUACGAAGAACUCUAUAACUUUUUGAAUCUAUAUUCUCGCUCGCGAAAUAACGUUCUUCCGACGAUUCUUCUCUACAAGAAAUCUUUAUUACUUUGCUCUCUACCAACAGUAAGCAGACGCAAAUUUCGCAAGUCUUGGUUCGUUGGGCUAAUUGACUCUUGAAAGGAGCAAAACCUCCUUCGUGUAAGUCUCGAUCGGCUCGAAAGUAGGUUAUAGACACCGCGUAAGAAGAAAAAGAAGAAAAAAGGCGAGACGGUCCUCCCGUUGGUCGUCGUUGUCGCUUGUCGUAAUUGGUAUGCAGGUGUGAAGAUAUCUGAAGUUACGAAACGUUACCUUGACCGCUUGGCCAGGUCAUUGUGAGUCAUUUAACCGGGAAUAAUUGAUCGUGGGCAAGGGAUCUAUCUCAUAAUUAUAUUACUUCGCGCAACACUUUUUAUAAUUGCUUCCCAUUUCGAGCAAAUUCAUAGAUUAGUAUGUAAAUAUUCGUUUUUAAAUACCUAUGUAUAAAGCAAAUUUUCUUAUUGCACAUCAGGAAAAAAAGGUUUAUGAGAUAUUUGAAUAAUUGUAUAGCUUGUUCACAAAAACUUAUAUUUUUCUUUAUUCUUUUAAAAACUAGAUCUUUAUACGUAUUUUAGGCAGAAUUUGAUUUUUAGUAGCCCAUUGAUACAAUGGGUGAGAUUAAUAAAGCGAAGAUUUAUGAGUUUUAAAAAAUUUCAAUUACUAUUCAAAAGUAUUAACGUAGUUGGCGUGGUAACGAUUUUCGGAAUACGACGGCUUAAAUAUGCAAAACUACGCAAAGCAUUCAUUGUAAUAUUUAAAAGGUAACACGAAUCUUUAUUUAGAUUCCGCAUCUAUAAUUAUUAUGAUAAGCACCUACAAUUUAUUCAUUGUAAAACACUUCUUCUACCUACUUGAUUUAUUAUGCGAAGGAAGUAAAAUCACUUCGAUUCAUUAUUAACAAAUUAACAAGAAUUAUCUUCAUCCGUAAGUAUAAUUAGUCGCAAGUGCUUGACUUUUAAAUUCUUACGCAAUUUCUGUUUCUCGAGUGCAUAUUGUUCUUCCCAUUGAUUCCCGUUACAUACAUGCAGCUUGUGCGGUUUCUUCAAAGCGAUAACAGAUAUUUCCUGAACUAUCCAUCUUUGGUCAAAAGCACAGUUAAGAAGAAAAAGAAGCUUCAAUAGCUUUAGAAUAACCGUCGAAGAUAUAUCCUGCACAAUGCAUACAGUUGAGAACGAUCUUCUUCCCCCGCCGUGGUCACGUUUUAUUACGCGACCGGUUGAUUUAUGCUUGACGCCCGCCGACCCUCGAUAAAUUCAUUAAACCACGCGUAUUCGUGCGAUCGCGGGCGUAUUUGUUACGCGCAGGGCUAGUCUCUGUUAACCUUGCGAGUGUGCCUUGGAUUUUAUUCGAACCAUGCCACGGACCAUGCAGCAACAAUGGUGGAGCACGUAUCCGAUUGUUAAUGGAAACUCGAUUAAUCAGAAUGAUGAUGAUCGUCUGCAAUAGUACUCUCGUGUAUUGCUAUUUAGUAUGAAAGAACAGCAAUUCAUAAGAUUAUCUUAUGUUGUUACAAUUUUUUUCUUUGGAUUCUUGUUGAGUACGUUCUUCUUUUUCUAAUUAUAUACAUCUUAUAAUUCGAUGAGACGUGAGAAAGUUAAAAUAUUCGUAAAAUUAUAAUAUGUUGAUUUUCUUUCAAUUGUAGAUAUUCUUGUAUCCUCGGCUCGUUUAGUAUACAUCUAAGAAGUUUCUGAUAUAUCUUUUAUACUUAUACUUAAGUUAUACUCUUUUACCAGUUGACCAUUAAUCACUUCAUUACAGCUUCUGUGUGUUAUGUGUCCUUUCAGAGAAUUCCCUUACAUUAAGAAAUCGACAAAUGUUUGCUUCAUCUUUAAAUUUAAACGAAACUCCAAUAAAUACGAAUAUUAUUCAUUAUUCGCUAUCUGAUACGAAUGAAUUUGUCGUCAACAUCGGUUCUAGGGAAUUACUGAUUAAUUUAAACGUACGUAAAAUAAAUGAAACGUCAAAGAUAAGCAAUAUUUUCCUCGUUGAUUUCUAAUUCGAAGACGAUAGUGACUCGUUUCUCGUGGAAGCGAUGAAUUUUCCCGGUAAGGCGCCAACAGAGAAGAGUCAUGGUGACAAGGGCAGAGUAUUUUCGAAUUCCAAACUCGCAGGCAAAGGUGACCAUGUAAAACUGUGAGGGUCGAUCGCGGAGGUAUAGACUGUAGAAUUGUUCAUCGAGGACAGCGUUUGCUUGUCGGAACACACGAAUGUUACGUAAGUUACGUGACAAUAUAUGUAAUAAUUUCCACUCGAUCCUGUGCAAUUAUUGAUAAACUCAAUGUAAGAAUUAUUAAUAAAUUUGAGUCACCAGCUGCUUGUACGUGUGUCUUUCUCAUCCUUGAUAGUUUCGAUAGUUGCUUCGAUCGUUCUUUUGGCAAUAAUGUACCAUAAUGAAAAACACAUUAAUCGACAAGUUGCUGUGUCCUUAAUGCUGGUCGUUGGCAGAUAUUUGAAAAUCAAUCGUACUUGAACGAUGGUUAGUAAGUAAAGUUUCUUAAUAAUUUACUAUGUUUUGAAAAACUCAUUAGGAUCAAUAAACGUCAUAUCGCUAAUGGAUCUUUAAGAAUUUUAUAAACAUGUAGAUAUAUCUAGAAUCUUCAUUUCGUAAUGCUUUUUCGACUGGAUUCUAAUGUAACGAAACCAUUGAAUUAAUAGAUAUAUCUCCAAUGAAAAAAGCAUAAAAAUACUUUUUGCUAAUGAGGCUGAUUGCUACUGAAAAAUAAAAUUACAAAAACAAAUUCUGAUGCCAGACAUUGAUUAAUCCUAUAAGGCCGUUAGUGAGAGAGAGUGAGAGAGAGAGAAGAGAAAGAGAGACCCAUCAAAUGUAGCAAUAUAAAUUUCACAUUUUAAAUGUCAUCUGUAUCUAACACAAUUAUUAAUAUUUAUUUCUUAUAUGUAAUUAAAAUAAUGUACUUUUGCAUCCCAUACAAUGGAAAUCUGAGAAAUUGCCUUUCUAAAUCUGAAUUCUUCGUCGUUUUAUCAAAGGAUUAAAAAACGAACGAUGUCCUCGAGAAUUCCGUAACAGCUUUAAAACAGAACCUUUACCAUCGAUCGACCGAUGGUUGAUCGACGUUAUGCGUGUCAAGUUCACCGACUCGUUCGAAAAACUUACUUAACAAGCAUGUUACGAGUUGCAACGAGCGAGAUGAAAGGCAACGAAUCGAAAGCUCAUUCAUAGCCUGGCAUUUUACCGAGCAAAUAUUACAUCUGCCUGCGUAUCGGUGAACGGUUGCCGGCACUAAAUAGCUCUCCCGGUUUCAUUGUGCAACAUGUAAUCGCGAUUGAAUCGAGAGAGAGAGAGAGAGAAAGAGAGAAGAGCUUGUGGUCCAGGUUACGAAAGGUAAACCAACCGGUGAUGUAAUGUUGCGAGUCGAUUGCAAGAUUCCUUCUUCGACGGGAGAAGCAAGUUAACCGGGUGGUGAUCGUCCGCUCGAGACGAAAUCUUCUCAUGAUCCUCGCUAUUUAGUUCCCGUACUUCUUAACGAUGUUAAAGCUUUCGAAACUUGUACGUAUCUCGAUAAUUGCCGUGUUUCGCAAUUCCACGUUUCAAUUUAGUUGUUUGGUGAUUGCUACAUUGUAAAUGUAGGAUGGAAGUACGAAAAUGAUUCGAAAUAAUGUAUCUAGGAUGAUACGGGCGAAUAUACUUAAUAGUGAUAUUAGUAAUUAGCAACGUCGAUAUAAGUAACGUAUGAGUUUUAUAGCAAAUCCAAUGAAGUAGAGAAGUUACAAAGUAGAUUUCUAUUUACUUUUAACGUAACAUAUGUUAUCAUCAUUUGUGUACAUAUUUCGUGAAUAUUUUACUUUCUUGUUAUAUUAUGUUUCUAAAAGGUAUCUUUCCUCGUGGCGUUGAAUUAUGAAUAACAUCAGAAUGUAUGUUCCAUAACUUCAGGUAGCAUAGUGAGGACCUUGUUCUUAUUUUUUGGCUCCCAUCUUGUAAAUUCCAGCCUUGUUCCCAUAUACCAGCCUUGUUAUAAGCUCAAGAUGUAUAUGAGUAUGAAUAAACUUGGUAGGCACUUAGUGAAUCAUCAACGUAAUAAACGAGUUAUUAAAAGAGCUAAUUCCAUUAAAGGGACGUUAAUAAUAAUUUAAUUACUCGUUAUACAAGAUGAACUUUAUAAAAGAAAUUAUCAUAUUCAUCUGGAAUCUAGAACAGCAAUUAUUUCUUCAUUGGUUCGGGGCUCCAGCUAUCUUACUUUCGUUUCUUAAAAUUCUUUCUUUCAUUUCUUUGAACGUAUUUUUAAGCCCCAGUUUUAGUAUCACGCGAACGUGACAGAUUUUAUUACGGUAUCACAUGUCCAAGAACCAUGUCGUUAUUAGACAACUAUACCACGUACGUUCAAACUAAUAUUUAAGAUAAAAACAUUCUUACUCCCUUUUCCAAGCAACAGAUAGCAGCAAUCUCCUUCAAUUUCAAUCUCAUUUCUAUCAUUUUGAACAUGCUGGGCUUCUUUUUUGAUGAUCUUGCAUCUAUCAUAUUAUAUCCAUCGUAUUUUGCUAUCGCUAACGAAUCUUUUAUUUGGAGGAAAAUAUAUAAACCAAUGAAGUAUGAAAUCUACGUAGAAAUUCGUUUCACCUAUCAAAUAUUAUAGCGAAUGCCGUAUAUUGGAUAUAUCAUGCAUUUUUAUAUUUUUUAACUUUCUAUAAAUGCAUAAAUCGUUUUAAUAAGCAUACGUUCUCGUUUCAAUUUUCGUUUUCAAUCUCAAAUAAACGUUAAAAUAAAUCCUCUUCCUUCAGGUCUCCAACUUCUUUUGUUCCAUCGUUUCUCUUUUUGCAUUUUUUGCUAUUCCUCUCGUGACGUGGUCUAUUCUCAAGCAAAUAGAGUGCGUCGUUUUCGGGAAAUUUUUUUUGCAGGCACAUACUUACGAGCAUCGUAGCGUGGCGUCGCACAUAAUGCAACAUCCUGUCGAAUCAUUGCCUUUGUAUUACGUAAAACGCCGCCCGGUAUACGAGGGCAGGAUAAAGAGAGAGGAGGAGAAAAACGCACACUGCAGCGCCGUUCUUUUUCUCCUCCUCCUUCUCUUUUUCACUUCUUUUUCGGUCUUUUUUCUAUUAUUAUACGCGUGUCCCUGGCCAAUUGCACAGAAAUGAACUCGCCGACUGCAAUUACCCUCGCGAGUGAGUUCUCGACCGCCUCCUACUUUCAUUCGUGUUCCCACAAUACAUAAUAGGCUGUAUUGUUAGAAAAGAAACUAGACUACUCCUCUUCCUUUUACCAACUGGAAGUAAAUUCUUCUCCUUUUCUUUUCAUAUAUAUAUAUAUUUUUUGCUCGUCUAUAUCCCGUUACGUCGUCUGUAGUCGCUUCAUUGAAUAUGUAAUAGUAACUGACCUGCUUGUAAGUUUUCUCCAAGGAAUCAUAAACGAAGAACGCAGAAGAAAAGCACAACUUCUCGCGUGAAAACAGUUUUAAAAUACAAUCUCUGUCAGUCAGCCUCAUAUUACCAAAAAACUGUCUUGUUAUUAAAUUUGUUUACGGAGUUCUGUGAAAAAAUAUUUACGUGAAAAGUGUUACUUUCUCAACAGUAUCGUUUCUCUUUUUAACUACAUUAUACUAAGCUACGUUCUUUUAAUUACCAAACAACAUAAAAACCAGGAAACCAACAACAUCAUACUCAUAUUUUCUUCCUUAUAAUCUCCAUACAAAGUCAGUUAAGCUUCUGGAGGAAGCGUACAAAGUAGAGGAUUUGUUCAUCGAUCUCUUUAUCGAAUCCCAAAUGAAGAAGAACGGCGCCCUUGAAAUUUUAAAUUACAAUCGCGUUGAUUUAAACUUCUCAUUCAACGCAUUUAGCCGUGUGAAGAAUCGAUUUUGAUGUGCUGAUCGAAGCACACAGUGAAGAAUCUAUUUUAAGAAAUCGAUUUAUGCGAUCGAUAACGCGGUUUGAGAAUCGGACGAGAAACGUCAGAAUAAUUUUGGAAAAAGGACACGGUACUCGGGAAGCCUUAAACGGGAACGAUCAUAAAAUACUGUAACGUGUAAGGUAACGGUUCCUGCCGCGUAAAAAGAACGGUUUCUCGUUUGGUUGCCAAAGUCACAGUACAUGUCAGUUAGUGCCAGAGUUUAGAAAUGUGCUCACGUAAGAAAUUAUACGUUCUACCUACUAUUGGUGAUUUAUGAUCCUCUCAGAACUGUAGUUUCGUAGGUAAUGAUUACACUUGUGCUUUUUUUUAGAACAGGUUUUAAACAGAGAGAUUAUUCGUUUAAAAAGAACCAAUUGUUACAUUCAAAUGGUUUUUCUGUAGCUAAGAAUUUUUCAGAUAUUACAGAAAAUACGUUUCAGAUCCAUCAAGAGUUGUUUUCAUCCCCUUCGAUAUGGAUCUUGGAUUUUCAUUAAAAUUUAGCCAUUUACGUUUGAAAAUGGUCAAGAAGUUAUCAAUUCUAAAAAUGUUAUACCGAGCUACCACAGUCUUGAUCUUUUUAUAUUUCCACCUUUUUCAUAUUUUCCAAGAAACGAUAAUUUCUUGUAAUUGGCAUUGUCUAAUAAUCGUCUUUAAAAAUCUACAUUUCUCAAUGUCAGUUCUGAGUCUCCACUCCUCUCUUCACUUUUCUUUAUUUUCGUGGCUACCGUAUCCAGCUUCGCAGUACAAAGUUAACAAUGGCGAUAAUAAAUUAUUAUUGUUAUUAUUAUUAUCUAUUUAAUUCUGGCUUUUUGCUUUGAAUGACUUUCAGUUAUCGGCCUUGCAACCGUGCAUAAUCUUUACCCAAUACAACAAUAAUGAUAGUGAAUUAUAAUGAAUAAAGAAGUAUGGAAUUCAAUAAAAAUUGCAUAGGUCGAGAAAACAAAGACUCUUCGAAGUGGAAGGAAAGGAAAGGAAAAGCGAACGGGCACAACGCAAAUAAGAGAAAUUUACGUCAACUUGCUCAAGGCAUUUUUGCACCUACAAUGACCUACAUAGAUCUGUUGUUUCUCUAGUAAAUACAAGAGUUUCUUCUUCAAGAAAAUAGAAGCGUACACUAACUAACGACUAUUUUUGCAUAGUACGCAUCUUUUCCAUCUCUUUUAAGCUUUUGUAAAUUUACACACGACAAAUAUUUAUGCCAUUUGUAUCCACUCAGAAUUGACAGAAUUUAUAUUUUAUCCCGCACGACUUAUUUUUUCUUUUUCCUGUUUUCCUUUCAUUUCUUGGAAGCUAUCAUAGAACUGAUAUGAACAAAAAAUGACCGUGUUUUUUUUAUCGUUAGUUAAUUACAGAUAUCAUGUAUAUCGCAAUUAAUUUAAUUAAAUUAAAAAAUCGCAAAUUUAAUUAAAUUAAAAAAUAAGUUAUUACGUGUAAAAAAAUGUAAUGAAUGUUUAUCUAUAUUCGCACGAAAUUGAUGAUAAUAGUAAGAAACCUAGUUCAUCAAAUGUACUGCGUACGUCUCGAAUGCAUAUUUUUUUUACGAUAUACUUUAUAAUACCGACUUGAUAAAGUCUUUUUAAAUACUGAAAAUCCAAUCAGCAAUGAAGGCGUUAACCUAUUAAUGAAAUUGCUUCCUAGUCAAAAAAUUCUAUACUCGUAGAAUUAAAAUUUAACAAAAACGAAUCAAUUUUAGUUAGACCAAUUUUGAUUCUUACAAUUCCUAGGAAAAUUGAAACAACACAUAAAAAUUAGAAAAUAAAGAAAUUACUAUAUUGUAAAGAUUGAAUGAGUUAAUAUUGUUCGUGAUAAUAUUCGCGGUAAAAAUUCUGUUUGCUAAAAGGUCAACAAGAAUCAACAAGCAAAAUUAAAAAAGCGGAAAAAAAUUCCGAGUGAGCCUAAUGAAGACUGUAAACUGCACAGAACGACGAGUUUUAAAGAUUAAAAACGCAGCGGAGAAUUGUAAAUGAGUCGUCAAAUGGUUGGAGCAAUUAAUGGCUGCGGCUUGCUUUCGCAUAUAUUGUACUGCAAACGUUUGCUUGUGGAAGCACUAAAGAGUUGCAACAAUAGGAGCAAAAUAAAAGUCAAUGCUUUUACACUUCAUGGUCACACGAGCAAUUAUCAUCUCCCCUUUGUUCCUUUCGUUCAAGUGAGAACCAUAAACUUUUAAAUUAUUGGCCAUAUUUUCAUUUACGAAACAGUUUUUUAAUUGUAAUUUAAUGUAAAGUGUAAUUUAAAUUGAAAUAAUUCGAUUGCAUUAUUUUGAUCUGUUUUUCUUGAUAAAGAAUUAACGCAGUAUUUGGAAGAGAUAGACAAUUUUUUGCUCGAAUUAUUAAAAUUAGUCUUUGACAUAUUUACAAAUUUUCAAGUGCUUCUAAACUUCUGCAUAUGCACCGAUCUCUUUCCUUUUCCUGCAACAUCGCCUUCUACUGAUACUAAUAAUAUCAUACUUGUUAAUUCAAGGACGAAUAAUAUCAUACUUUCGUAAUAAAUCUAUUGCAAUAGAAAGUUCCAUUAACUGAGCAUGGCCGAGUAAAAUCAUAGAAACAAAUCUACAGAAAGGAAAUCUUAACUCAAGUAUCCAAGACCUCUUAAAAUACCAAAAAUAAAGCUACUUGAAUCGAAUCUCGGCUCAGACCAUCGAUCCACCAAAAUGCAGUGCAAUGUUGAAAGAUAAACAGAUGAGAAUAAAAUACAAGAUAUCUUAACUAUAAGAUAGAUUUACCUUCUAAGAAGAUUAUAGGAUAUUUAAUUAUAUCUUAAUCGGUCUUAUCUACAUUUAAAAAAUACGAGUAAAUUAUAAUAAUCCUUUCUUUAAUCUGUGAUCCUUUUAAAAAUACACUGCUAAAAUACAGAGCCCAUUUACAUCCUCUUAAUUGAUUCACCAUUCUUACAAUAUACUUAAUUGCUCUGUAUUCUCUAAAAAUUAUCAUCGAGCUGCCUCAAAUCGAUUAUUUGACAUUACUACUAGCCAAGCCUGUUGGUCGACAAAGGUUUAAGAUCUUUCUUGGCACAACUAUGAUGUUAAAUUUUAUUGAAAUAGAAGUAUAAUUAUAUACCAGACUAUGGAUAUUUAUACAAACUCAUUUGUUUGGUAAUCUAGUCGUAAAUUUGUCCUCUAGUCAGUGAAUCUACUCGCAAAUUUGUUUCACCUAUCAAUAAUAUAAAAAAUAUUGUACUUUGGUUAGUUACAUAUUUUUAUACCGAGCGUGCAUUGUAUUUAUUUUUUCAUCUUUAAAUUCCCACGGAUGCAUAAAAAUCCGUAGUCUAACAAUCAGAUAGAUCUCAUUAUUUUCAUAACUGUUUUUUCUUAUUAUACGCUACUUUAUCCGUAUAAUAUAUUUCAGCGAAUAUGCUUCUAACGUAGACAGAUACUGCCUUUCUCCGUAAUCCUCCAGUAUCUCUGGCUAACUAUAAUCUAUCAUUUUUGUGGAGUAAUGCCUCCAGUUUCCGUGGCGACCGGACAUGAUUGAAGCGCGGUUGCGUGUUCACCAGCCGGCUUAUUCCACGAGAGGAUUUCGACAUCGUCUGCUCAAGGCUAGGAACUAUUACACGUACAUAUGACUGAUCGCCAGUCACCGGUUUUGGAUCGGUUUCUCCGUGUUGUUGCGAUCGCCCGAGCAAAACGAUACGAAGAAUGCUACUAGUCGUAGCGUACCAACAUCUUGUAUAAAAUGGAAUAACAAGAAAACCCCGGCUUGUCGUACGUGACUCUCUGGGCGUAGAACAAUCAAGGUCGAUAGAAACGAUCAUAUGCCAUUUAUGUAGGCCUUUCUGUUUCUGCGGAUAUAUUUAUCCUGAUAUAUCACGCGUUCUUUUCUGUUCUAAUCGAACGUGUGCUUCGAGUAGAUUUUUACGCUCGAUCUUAUGUUUCUUAUCGUUAUGUAUAUAACGGGCAACAACAAUGAAUUGACGCUAUAUAUCAAUUGCGUCACGCAAUAUCAGAAGCUAAAUUGAUUAAGUCCAUUUUCUGAAAGUAUCGUUGUUUUAGUGUCACAAUUACAUGAUUCUUUACAGACUAAAGAAUUAACUUCGAUGGAGUUCUCAAUUAUAAUCGAACAUGUAUAGGGAACGUAUUAUGGUAGAUUUUAUUAUUAUUAUUAUAACCGAUAUUAUAAUCUCAAGAAACGAAAUAAUCUGCUAUUGUCGCGUAUACAUACAUAGAUGUUUGUAAAGUGAUCCCAUGUUUUAGAUUUGUAUAUAUGUACGUUUGAUAAAAAUAGCGUAGUUGGUACGGUGGGAUGAACUUCACUGUAUGUGCAAUGAUGAUGACUAACUUGAUAUAUAUCUUGAUCUAACUGAAGAAUUCACUUUUAUUUAUUGGAUUUUUAAGUAAGUCAAGGUCAGUGUGUAGACGGUCAGUGUAGAUCAGUAGAAGGUUGGUACCUGGAUUCAUUGCUCUACAAAAAUUAGAUAAAUCUUGAUCUCUUAUCGUUUCUUGCAAUGAAGCAAUAAUCAAGGAAAAGUUAGACACGGUAUUUUUAAUAACUAAAAAGAUAUAUAUAUACAUAAAAUAUUUAAAAUAAAGUACUCAAUAUAAUAUUUAGUACAUGAUGCAAAUCUCACUGCAUUUGAAAUCCGGUUAUGAUGAUCAGUUCUCUCUAUCGUCUAAAUUCUAUAAACUUUCCAUAAACGAAGGAAGUGAUAAUCUAGUUUUUCAACACGAGUUUAUGUAUCUAUUUAAGUAUUCAAGUUUGUAA